rnacentral:misc_RNA from 1 species
GCAAACUUGGUCAUUUAGAGGAAGUAAAAGUCGUAACAAGGUUUCCGUAGGUGAACCUGCGGAAGGAUCAUUAAUGAAAAAGGAUAUUGUAUUCUCAAUCCCCUUUCGAGUACAUGUAUGUGUUGCUUCCGCGAGUCAUGAGUCUUUGGCUUCUACUCCUCACCAAUUGGUGAGGUGCUUGCGGAAGGCUGUCUCAAAAUCUGUAUUGUUGAAUUUGGUCUGAGUGAUUGUAGUGCAAUAAAAGUUAAAACUUUCAACAACGGAUCUCUUGGUUCUCGCAUCGAUGAAGAACGCAGC